GGGCAUGGUGGCACAUGUCUAUAAUCCCAAUUACUUGGAAGGCUGAGGCAGGAGAAUUGCUAUAGCCUAGGAGUUCAAGGUUAGCUUGGGCAACAUGGCAAGACCCCAUCUUAA
rnacentral:sRNA from 1 species